rnacentral:rRNA from 1 species
AUGGAUAGCUUAUUUGCUUUGUUAUAUAUACUUUGUAGUUUCAAAAAUGAGGCAUAUAUGUCAACUAUGGGUGUUGGCUCCAAGAAUUCUCAUUGGUAUCAAACCAAUGACAUGCAUUUCGAUGAUCAUGAGUUUGAGGUGUAAGAGGAUGGUGAGGGCAUCGUCGACGCACCGAAAGGAAGAGGAGGCAACUACACCAAUGAUGAAUACAUCUUGCUAUGCAAUACUUGGUUGCAAGUGUCGAAGGAUCCCUCGGUUGGAGGUGAUCAAAGUAAAGAUGCAUAUUGGAACCGGAUAAAGGAGCACUUUGAUCUACACAACAAAAGUGGAUUUGACUGCUCGGAGAGAUCUUUUCACUACUAG